UCUCACUUGCACGCUUAUGGCACGAAAAGAAACGCCUUCCGUCUUAGGCGUUUCUUUUCGUGCCAUAAGCGUGCAAGUGAGA
rnacentral:pre_miRNA from 14 species